rnacentral:rRNA from 1 species
GAUGAACGCUGGCGGCGUGCCUAAUACAUGCAAGUCGAGCGAACGGACGAGAAGCUUGCUUAUCUGAUGUUAGCGGCGGACGGGUGAGUAACACGUGGAUAACCUACCUAUAAGACUGGGAUAACUUCGGGAAACCGGAGCUAAUACCGGAUAAUAUUUUGAACCGCAUGGUUCAAAAGUGAAAGACGGUCUUGCUGUCACUUAUAGAUGGAUCCGCGCUGCAUUAGCUAGUCGGUAAGGUAACGGCUUACCAAGGCAACGAUGCAUAGCCGACCUGAGAGGGUGAUCGGCCACACUGGAACUGAGACACGGUCCAGACUCCUACGGGAGGCAGCAGUAGGGAAUCUUCCGCAAUGGGCGAAAGCCUGACGGAGCAACGCCGCGUGAGUGAUGAAGGUCUUCGGAUCGUAAAACUCUGUUAUUAGGGAAGAACAUAUGUGUAAGUAACUGUGCACAUCUUGACGGUACCUAAUCAGAAAGCCACGGCUAACUACGUG